CCCUUAGAUGUUCUGGGCCGCACGCGUGCUACACUGAGUGGAUCAGCGGGUCAGGUUGCGCGAAAGCGUUUCCUAAUCUUUAAAUCCGCUCGUGAUGGGGAUUGACGGUUGCAAUUUUCUGUCAUGAACGAGGAAUACCUUGUAAGCGCGGGUCAUCAUCCCGCGCUGAAUACGUCCCUGCCCUUUGUACACACCGCCCGUCGCUCCUACCGAUUGAGUGGUCCGGUGAGGCUUUGGGAUCUGAGCGGAAAGAGCGUUUCGCUGUUUCUGCUCGGAAAACUCAGUCGAACCUAAUCAUUUAGAGGAAGGAGAAGUCGUAACA
rnacentral:rRNA from 1 species